CGAAAGCCUGACGCAGCGACGCUGCGUGGAGGAUGAAGGUUUUCGGAUCGUAAACUCCAGUAAGCAGGGAAGAAUAAGCAACGGGUAAUAUCGUUGUGAUGACGGUACCUGCCUAAAGCCCCGGCUAACUACGUGCCAGCAGCCGCGGUAAUACGUAUGGGGCGAGCGUUGUUCGGAAUUAUUGGGCGUAAAGGGCGUGUAGGCGGGGGACUAAGUCAGAUGUGAAAGCCAUAGGCUUAACCUGUGAAUUGCAUUCGAAACUAGUUCUCUUGAGUUCGGGAGAGGAGAGCGGAAUUCCCGAUGUAGCGGUGAAAUGCGUAGAUAUCGGGAAGAACACCAGUGCCGCAGGCGGCUCUCUGGCCUAGAACUGACGCUAAGGCGCGAAAGCGUGGGGAGCG
rnacentral:rRNA from 1 species